rnacentral:rRNA from 1 species
GACAGAGGUCCCAAGCGUUAGGCGGAAUCACUGGGCUUAAAGCGUGUGUAGGCGGACUUGUAAGUACCUUGUGAAAUCCCACGGCUCAACCGUGGAACUGCUGGGUAUACUGCGAGUCUUGAGCCACCUAGGGGCGAGCGGAACAAGUGGUGGAGCGGUGAAAUGCGUAGAUAUCACUUGGAACGCCAAGUGGUGAAAACAGCUCGCUGGGGGUGUGCUGACGCUGAGACACGAAAGCCAGGGGAGCAAACGGG